rnacentral:sRNA from 1 species
UCUAAACCUACAAGCAAACAAACUGCGGCACAAAACAAGCAAGCGGAGGGAAAUGCGCCAGGCGACAAUUUCUAAUUACGAAUUCGCCAGAACACUUAACCCGUUUUUACCGGACAUACACGUACCCAGGCGUCCAGUACAAUUUCCAUAGCUAAACAUAUACCAAACACCUUUCAGACAACAGCAAAGAGUCACAGGGGAUGGAAUUGGGGUAUAAAGUCAUGUUUUGAUUGCUGGACGGAAAAAGUUACCAUUUUGCCAGAAGUCCGGGCCGAUCUUAAGUAUGUAUGUACUCUUAGUCGACUUACUCUGCGCAGGAACAUUUAACAAAACUCAAUGUACUAUUAUUAAAUCCUUCUUGAUAAUAGAAUUUAACAGAGCAGUGCAACGAAACGUUACCCCCAAUUUCUGAUGCUACCGUCAUUGUAUCUAUGAAUAUAACAAAUUUUGUGUUUUGAAAUAUGAAUCCCAGUAUACCAUUUACACCCUACAAUUACCAGGGACUUAAAAAAAGCUCAGCUUGCUACAUUUUAUGCUGAUCCCUGUCAGGCAACAAAACACACAUAAUCUGCAAAAAGGAUAACAACAGGGUGGGGACUGAACGAGAGAAAAGAAAAGUGCCAGAGCACCGGGGAAGGAUGAACAAACAAAAUAUUUAUGUCUCCAACACACCUUGAAAAACACAGACGAUAAACGUGGAGCAAGCCCAAAGGAUUCGGAAAGGCGUGGCAUAGAUCCUGGUGGGUUUUAUGCUUCGCUCCAUGCAAAGUACAGGCAACAAACAUCAACCAAUAAUGCAGACGCGAUUAUGUCCAACCAGAAGCAAAAAUAGUUAUGGGCAACAGAAGGACAACUCCGACUUUGAAUGUGAAGUUGACGCUAGAAUAGCAGGACAUUCGCAUACAGAAAGGAUUGGGAUUGCUUUUCACAGACACACACUUUUUGAGGAAGCUGCACUCUCACAAUCACCAAAAAAUUAAAAACAAACAAAACACGGUGGGAACGUCGAGUGGCGAGUAUGGAAAAAAGAAAGGACCUCGAAAAGCAGAGACCUGAGAGGCAGCUGCAAAAAACGAAAGUGUUGCACAAUGGGCGUUGCUUCAGGUCUUCUGCACACUCAAAAACCUGCCUCCAACCACUCUCUUCUAGGAGGGACACUCACCAACACUGUCCUCUGAUUUAUGCCACCGACGACCAAUUUUUUACACUGUAAAAAUGAAAACAGCUAAAAUAUACAGAAUAUUUAAAAGUUGUAAUGCAUUUAAAAUAGAAAAUCUCCUAGCUUGGCAUGAUAAAAACACAAGAUAGGACUGAUCGCCUUGAAAAAAUCACUAUAUAUCACUAUACUCCUCCCAAAUGUUAUUAAGUUCGUAUAUUGAAAGAUACUGCCAACAAAGAAAAUAAUUGUGGCCUGAUCUACAAUUUACUCAUAAGAAUCCAAAUCGCUUUCCUUUGACCCUUAAACACUCUUCAACGGCCCUGGUAUUCCCUUAAACUAUAUAUAUAGCUACGGGUAUGAUAAGCCAGAAGACAAACGAAAACUUACGAUAACGACAACAUUGAGAGUAAAACACCAUGUCUGACCAACAGGAGCAAUAGAAAUCGCAGCGACAACAAAGAAGGACCUGCGAUGAUGCCACUGACGAGUUGGAAGUGAGCUGGAGGCAGGUCCCCUAAGCGCAUCCACCUCUCGCAGGAGGAUCCCUCCUCGUUCGGAAGAGGAAGCAUCGCCAUUCGUUUGGGUGUUCUGUGGGUGUGUGAGCACUUUGUUUUCUUUUGUUUCCUGGGUUGCCAUUACAUUCACUCGCUCGACAGCCAGUCAGCGCCAAGACCACUCCGCCCUGUUGGUUGGCCGGCGUCAAAGGACACUUCGCAGACUCCGGGUUGCGAGAGGUCCUUCUAACAAAAUUUAAUACUUAUUGCCCUUCGCCUAGCGUUAGCGGGGUUGCAUGCUUGCACACAGAAACGCAAACAGAAUUUAUGUUGUGACAUUUUAAAUUGCGCAAUUUUUAUGAAAUCCUUUUGCUGCGCCUCUCCAGCGCAUCCUUGCGAAUUUCAGAAUAACAUCUCUUGACUGCAACCGACAUUCUCCACCAAUCCGACGCGCAUUUUUGUGCAGCACUCAAAUAGUGGAAGGAAAACAGUACGAAUUGAAGCGGGUCCUGCGCAAGCCGCUGUCAGCCUGGCUUUUUAUUUAUUUUUAUGUUUAGACUCGACCAUCGUCCGCCAAAACCGAAAAUGUGCGAGCCAUCGCCCCGCGAGACGACCAGAGAAAGCAGAAAGACCCACCAUGAUUUACGAUGAUGAUGUGUCCUAGAACGCGGCCGCAUCUCCACCAAACUACUCGCACUGCACAACAAGACCUCCAGCUCGUGAGCUCCUCCAUUUUUCCCUACGGCUGAGGCAGCUUCAAAUAUUUGAACACAAGGAAUUUCGCCAGCAAGACCUCUGGAAUGCAUUCUCCUGUCGGGAUUUCAAAAGCGGCCAAGUUGGAGCCAAAGCUCCGUUUUCAACUCGCUUCUGCAACAGGAUGGGAGUAUAUCGAACUAUAUGUAUUUAACUGAAACAAAGAUACGUAUUACAUAUUACUUCUGGA